rnacentral:rRNA from 1 species
UGGGGAAUCUUGCGCAAUGGGCGAAAGCCUGACGCAGCCAUGCCGCGUGAAUGAUGAAGGUCUUAGGAUUGUAAAAUUCUUUCACCGGGGACGAUAAUGACGGUACCCGGAGAAGAAGCCCCGGCUAACUUCGUGCCAGCAGCCGCGGUAAUACGAAGGGGGCUAGCGUUGCUCGGAAUUACUGGGCGUAAAGGGAGCGUAGGCGGACAUUUAAGUCAGGGGUGAAAUCCCGGGGCUCAACCUCGGAAUUGCCUUUGAUACUGGGUGUCUUGAGUGUGAGAGGGGUAUGUGGAACUCCGAGUGUAGAGGUGAAAUUCGUAGAUAUUCGGAAGAACACCAGUGGCGAAGGCGACAUACUGGCUCAUUACUGACGCUGAGGCUCGAAAGCGUGGGGAGCAAACAGGAUUAGAUACCCUGGUAGCCCACGCCGUAAACGAUGAUUGCUAGUUGUCGGGAUGCAUGCAUUUCGGUGACGCAGCUAACGCAUUAAGCAAUCCGCCUGGGGAGUACGGUCGCAAGAUUAAAAACUCAAAGGAAUUGACGGGGUCAUAGCUGUUUCCU